CAACAAGUGUUCCCAAUCUCGGAGCCAUUUCUCCAGCCCUAAAGCAGAUUAAAAUGAAACAAAACAAAAUUGACAAAACUUCUUGACACAAACACUUCCUUUAGUUUAUAGUUACCGCCCAAACAGGAUGAGCUGUGGGUUUCAAAAGGCCACUGUCUGCCUCCCUUCAGUGGUCCGCAAGUGUUGGAUCCACUUACAGCCUGCAUGCUAGAAAGCCCAAGUAUUUGAACACCAGGCUCUUUCAUUUCUGCCUCCUCGGUGCUAAAUGGCUCUGCCCUGUGACUGCAUCGGAACUUAAGAGUCAGUGACUCCAACACAAGAUAGAUUCCAUCCAGCUCAUCUCUACAUUCUCGAGGCUGGCUUUGAUAACGACCACGACGGGCCAAGGGGACUGCUGUCUGUGGACGCGAUUCCCGGGAGGGAAGGACAUGCUGAGUCCUGAUAUAAAACACCCCAAACGGGAUGCUUCUUCCCUUUUGAUUUUAUGGUGGAUUUUGAACAGUGAUGCCGAUAAAGACAGAAUUCCCAUCAAGAGCCAAACAGUAUCCCCGGCACAGAGGAAACGUGAGCUUCUGAGAACAGACCCAGUUGAAUUUGCGCAGAGGGCUCCAUCAAUGCAGAAGGCAUGCAGCCAAGCAGGGUGUUGAGUCUUCUGUGUCGGGGAUGUGACCCCUUCUACAGAAGCUUUCCCCACUGUCUGAUUCUGAAAGAGCGGUUUAUCUACCCUUGAUCAUCAGACUCUCAUCAUUCCUUUGCCUCCCUGGACGAUUCCACCUCGUGAAUAACAUGUCCUGUCUUGGUUUACCCCCGAGGUGAGCUGUGUCAAUACUGAGUGUUCUCUCUAGUGGCAGUCUUAACGCUACAAAGAGAAGCGAAAAUCUUCCAUGAGUCAAUUCCAGGCCCCAGGAGCUCCAAGGAAGCAUCCGGGAAUUCCUGGCAUCAACGCUUCGUGUCUGUUACCCCAACGUGGAACUUGUUGAAUUAUGCAAGAAUUUUCACUGGAAAGACAGUUGUUUAGGCCCAGAAUGUGUCCCGGCUGUGGUUCAUUCCAUGAUUAGAGCUCUGGGAUGGCUUUGGUCCUCGAAAGACUUGGUCCCUGCUUUGCUUCCUAUUGCACACUGAGAAUCUUCAUCCUUUUUUUUUUUUUUUUUUUUUUUUUUAGCUAGAUUCUCCUGACAGGGGAGAGAAGAGCACUGUCUAUGGUUUUUGUUUGUUUGGAUUGCUUUGUUUUUAAUUUCCUCUGCCUUUUCUCCCCUCCAAAAACAUAGAAGGGGGUUAAAGUCAUAAAUUCAUCUUUACCAUAGACACCCUGAGUUAUUUUCCAUUGCAAAAAAAUAAAAUCUGUUCCAAGUAA